ACGGCGAGUGAAGCGGCAACAGCUCAAAUUUGAAAUCUGGCUCUUUCAGGGUCCGAGUUGUAAUUUGCAGAGGGCGCUUUGGCGUUGGCAGCGGUCCAAGUUCUUUGGAACAGGACGUCACAGAGGGUGAGAAUCCCGUACGUGGUCGCUAGCCUUCGCCGUGUAAAGCCCCUUCGACGAGUCGAGUUGUUUGGGAAUGCAGCUCUAAAUGGGAGGUAAAUUUCUUCUAAAGCUAAAUACUGGCCAGAGACCGAUAGCGCACAAGUAGAGUGAUCGAAAGAUGAAAAGCACUUUGGAAAGAGAGUCAAAUAGCACGUGAAAUUGUUGAAAGGGAAGCGCUUGCAGCCAGACUUGCCUGUAGUUGCUUAUCUGGACUUUUGUCCGGUGCACUCUUCUGCGGGCAGGCCAGCAUCAGUUUGGGCGGUUGGAUAAAGGUCUCUGUCAUGUACCUCCUUUCGGGGAGGCCUUAUAGGGGAGACGACAUGCAACCAGCCUGGACUGAGGUCCGCGCAUCUGCUAGGAUGCUGGCGUAAUGGCUGUAAGCGGCCCGUCUUGAAACACGGACCAAGGAGUCUAACAUCUAUGCGAGUGUUUGGGUGUCAAGCCCAGACGCGUAAUGAAAGUGAACGGAGGUGGGAACCCUUUGGGUGCACCAUCGACCGAUCCUGAUGUCUUCGGAUGGAUUUGAGUAAGAGCAUGGCUGUUGGGACCCGAAAGAUGGUGAACUAUGCUUGAAUAGGGUGAAGCCAGAGGAAACUCUGGUGGAGGCUCGCAGCGGUUCUGACGUGCAAAUCGAUCGUCAAAUUUGGGCAUAGGGGCG
rnacentral:rRNA from 1 species